rnacentral:rRNA from 1 species
GACAACGCUGGCGGCGUGCUUCAUACAUGCAAGUCGAACGAGAAUCUGUAGCUUGCUACAGAGGAAAGUGGCGGACGGGUGAGUAAUGUGUAGAGAAUCUGCCCUAGAGUGGGGGAUAGCAGUUGGAAACGACUAUUAAUACCCCAUAUGCGCGUAGCUGAGAUGCUAUUCGUGAAAACUCCGGUGCUCUGGGAUGAGUCUGCAUCUGAUUAGCUAGUUGGCGGUGUAAUGGACCACCAAGGCGACGAUCAGUAGCUGGUUUGAGAGGAUGAUCAGCCACAAUGGGACUGAGACACGGCCCAUACUCC